GAAAUGCGAUAAGUAGUGUGAAUUGCAGAAUUCAGUGAAUCAUCGAAUCUUUGAACGCACAUUGCGCCCUUUGGUAUUCCAAAGGGCAUGCCUGUUCGAGCGUCAUUUGUACCCUCAAGCUUUGCUUGGUGUUGGGCGUCUUGUCUCUAGCUUUGCUGGAGACUCGCCUUAAAGUAAUUGGCAGCCGGCCUACUGGUUUCGGAGCGCAGCACAAGUCGCACUCUCUAUCAGCAAAGGUCUAGCAUCCAUUGAGCCUUUUUUUCAACUUUUGACCUCGGAUCAGGUAGGGAUACCCGCUGAACUUAAGC
rnacentral:misc_RNA from 1 species